rnacentral:rRNA from 1 species
UACAGAGGGUGCAAACGUUGCUCGGAAUCAUUGGGCGUAAAGCGCACGUAGGCGGCUCAGCAAGCGGGGAGUGAAAGCCCUCGGCUUAACCGAGGAAGUGCUUUCCGAACUACUGAGCUUGAAUACCGGAGAGGAUCGCGGAAUUCCCGGUGUAGAGGUGAAAUUCGUAGAUAUCGGGAGGAACACCAGUGGCGAAGGCGGCGACCUGGACAGAUAUUGACGCUGAGGUGCGAAAGCGUGGGGAGCAAACAGG